AGAGUUUGAUCCUGGCUCAGGAUGAACGCUGGCGGCGUGCCUAAUACAUGCAAGUCGAACGGGAGACCUCAUUUCGGUGGGGUUGAGAGUGGCGGACGGGUGAGGAGCACAUGGCUGACCUGCCCUCCAGGGGGGAUAACGGCUGGAAACGGCUGCUAAUACCCCAUACGCUCCUCUGGGUUAGAGGCCGGGGAGGAAAGGCGGAAGCCACUGGAGGAGGGGGCUGUGGCCCAUCAGCUAGUUGGUGAGGUAACGGCUCACCAAGGCGACGACGGGUCGGGGGCCUGAGAGGGUGACCCCCCACACUGGGACUGAGACACGGCCCAGACUCCUACGGGAGGCAGCAGUAAGGGAUCUUGCGACAAUGGGCGAAAGCCUGACGCAGCAACGCCGCGUGCGGGAUGACGGCCUUCGGGUUGUAAACCGCUUUUCGGGGGGAAGAGGAAGGACGGUACCCCCGGAAGAAGUCUCGGCUAACUACGUGCCAGCAGCCGCGGUAA
rnacentral:rRNA from 2 species